UACGGGAGGCAGCAGUGGGGAAUAUUGGACAAUGGGCGCAAGCCUGAUCCAGCCAUGCCGCGUGGGUGAUGAAGGCCCUAGGGUUGUAAAGCCCUUUCGGCGGGGAAGAUAAUGACGGUACCCGCAGAAGAAGCCCCGGCUAACUUCGUGCCAGCAGCCGCGGUAAUACGAAGGGGCUAGCGUUGCUCGGAAUCACUGGGCGUAAAGCGCACGUAGGCGGAUUGCUAAGUCAGGGGUGAAAUCCUGGAGCUCAACUCCAGAACUGCCUUUUGAUACUGGCGACCUUGAGUCCGGGAGAGGUGAGUGGAACUGCGAGUGUAGAGGUGAAAUUCGUAGAUAUUCGCAAGAACACCAGUGGCGAAGGCGGCUCACUGGCCCGGUACUGACGCUGAGGUGCGAAAGCGUGGGGAGCAAACAGGGAUUAGAUACC
rnacentral:rRNA from 1 species